GAGGUGGACCGCCAUAACCAAAUUUUCCGGGUUGUUUUUUCAAGCCAGUCCGACCCUGUCCUCAGUAGUAGGAGAAUGUUUUAAUACCUUAUUUUCCAAAUAAUCAAAACUGUUUCUUUCAAAUAAAAAUUUACUUAUAUGUUACACUUAUUUAGGUUGGGGAGGGGGGCCCUCUCUAAUGACCAUAGAUGCACCACUAAUGUAUCUUUUAAUUUAGUAAAUUAUGUUAUACUUCUUUGUUUUUGUACUUUAAGUAACUAAUUAGAUAUUUCAAGAUUGAGACUUUCUUUGAUAUUGUAGUGUUAAAACAUUAACAACACAUCUACUAUGAGUUUUACAUUUAUCUCCCAUAUUUGGAUCUACCAAAUAUGGUAGAUCCAAAUAUGGGAUUUGUAUGGUUCUUGUAUGAUUUUAUUUUUUUUAAUUUUAUAAAUUUUUUUCAAUUUAUUAUUUAAAUUUCGACUUAGUGCAAAUUAAAUUUCACUAAACGCUACAAAAACUAAAAUAGUUGUCUUUAAAACCAAAAAAACUAAAAUAAAAAAACAAGGAACAAUGCACUUUCAGCAUUGAUGGAAAAAUAUUAACUUCGUCAAAAACUGUGAAGUACCUUGGAUUUUGGCUGAAUGAGAGUCUUUCUUACUUUCUAUCAUCAAACUUACUUACAGACUAAGCUAAUUCGAUCAGUUGGAAUGUUAACCAAGAUCAGACAUUUGAUACAGUUAGCCGAUGUUCUAAAAUAAAAAGACACAAUGCACAAAGAUAUAUUUUAGACUGUUUGAAGUUUGCAUCAUAUUGAUUGGAUCGAGGAAAACGUGCAUUAAAUCAAAAUGAGUCUGAUGACAGAAGACGACGGAUGAGUUUGAUACUGAUGAUGAAGAUAACGAUAUCAUAAUUUUAUCAAGAUUGUUUUAAAAAUAAUUUUAACUUUGAAUAUGCUUUUGUUCUAAAAAUUUAUAAAUUA